GCCGACAUCGCAUAAUCCGGCAUUGCGUCAGCCUUGAGAGCUGAUUUCCGAAAGGAUAUCCCGGUUCAAAUCCGGGUGUCGGCG
rnacentral:tRNA from 1 species